CCCACACACACGUUCACGGACGAUUAGUUUCUUGUUAUUUUACAUGGUGGGUCAACCAGAUUUACCAGUUUGUACGUUAUCUUGAACGCAACUACCGCAGCUAACUGCCUUAGCAUGGUGCUAACCUUUAAAAAGCCCCAAGAGCCGACACACGGAACAAGCUAACUACAGUUCAAAGCUCUGUAAGUCAAUUAUGUAUAAAUAGACUCCUCUGGAUGAACUGAUCAGUGACGCGGCCGCACUCGUCCUCGUAGAGCAGUGUAAACAGACGUUAGCUUAGCCUUUUAGCUCCCAGCACCACAACCGACCUGGGCCUGCGGCGGUGACUGCGCAUUCCUCUGCGGCGACUGCUCCUCGUUGAUCUUCUGCUUCAGCUUCUUAAACAUGUUGUCGAGCGGACGCGGCCUGGAGCCGACGAGCAGAAAGUUAGAGUCCUCCCGAGAAGUGUUUUCCUCUCGCUGAGCCCUGACAGCCACGGACUUCCUUGUUCGGCCCUGAUCCGCAGCAGGUGAGCGGCGUCUCUGCGCAUGUGCGGCCAACGUGGAGGAGAAGGGAGACGUCACAGUUAAAGGGACAGCCCGGACUCGGUGAGCUGCAGCGCCGCCUGUGGAGGAAGGAAAGCACAGUCGACAGUCAGAUCAGGCAUCUUUCUCAACAGAAAAAGGUAUCAAGUCCAAUACAUCCGAACACCAGGAGAGUAAUAUGCACGUCUCAUUCACUGCUAACAACAGUGGGCUUCAGGGACCAGAUCAAUAAGAAGAAAGCUGCAAAUCCUCUGUGGAGUUCAGUGAUGCCCAAUUAAAGGCAGAUGUCCGGGAGAACCUGAAGACCAAGCAAACAUACACCCGCACUGACCGCCGGCACCAGAGAGAGGUCAAAACUAAUUAAAUAUUGAUACUCUUCAUCCCCUGACUUGAUGCCCAUACCCACCUCCUACCUCUCCGGAAGCCUCUCCACAGUGUGGAUCCUGGGUGAACUGGUCAUCUGAAGCAGAGCCUCAUUUCUCCUGUUCCUGUUCUGUAUUAAGUUGCAUGAAAAAUCCUCCAAUGCACCAACAAUCUACCUCCCUGCCCACAUUUUGCAUGCGCUGCAAAGAGCUUCAAACACCAUGAUGUAAAUAUAAGUGCUCAAGUGUUACUUAUAACCUUGUACAAUAAAGUUGCUCUAGUAUUACCUCACUCUAAAAAUGUGGGCGUCUAGUGCUGAGGUUGAUGCAACAACUGUUUCAAACACAGAUUGAUGACUCAGGGCUGGUACACUGACCAGCUCAUGCCCCUCUCCCAUCCCCCACGGUGUCAUCAUGUGGUUGUUCCGUGCCCAUGCCUGAUGUCACCGCGAGGCCAUGCCAGCUAGAAGGGCCUGUUAAGAAUGUAGUUCCUGCAGCAUGUAUUUUUCA